rnacentral:rRNA from 1 species
CGGCACGGGUGCGUAACGCGUGGGAAUCUGCCCUCUGGUGCGGAAUAACUCAGGGAAACUUGAGCUAAUACCGCAUAAUGACUUCGGUCCAAAGAUUUAUCGCCUGAGGAUGAGCCCGCGUCGGAUUAGCUAGUUGGUGAGGUAAAGGCUCACCAAGGCGACGAUCCGUAGCUGGUCUGAGAGGAUGAUCAGCCACACUGGGACUGAGACACGGCCCAG